UAUUAAAUGGGAAUAGACAUACAUUCUGUACACCAAGGAAUAACAUUGGUUUGUAUGGUUUUAAUAUUAUUAUUUGUGAACUUUCCAGAGUCAGUUGGAAUUGAAUUGAAUUAAAUAUACAGUAUGAUAAAUUAUGACUGCUUUCUUGGAUUCAAAUUCCAAAACAGCUUGGCAAAGUUUGCAUGAAAAGCAAAGUUCAUAGACAAAUAUUUGGAUUAAAAAAAAAUGAUAGAAAGCCACUAAUAGGAAAGUGGUGUUUCAGUAGCAGAUCUUCACUCUCCCUUUCUGCUAGGCAAAUGAAGGGACAUAGAUGAUUUCACAUAACUAGGUAUUCACAUGCCAAGAAAGGAGAAAUAACCAAUUUAUUAUAUGUAUUUAUUCAACGGAUCCAUACAUUUUGACUGUACCUUGUUUAGUUCAUUAAACUGAACUAACUUUGCCUUUUUUAUUUAUUAGAUAAACUUUCCCACACUGCAUUUGUUUUCAUGCAUACAGAAUGGGCAAAGUUCUGAGUAAAAUGUCCACAUGCAACUUUAAAAAUAAUACAGCUUGCUGUUGAUAGGGGAAUAAAGGACAGAGAUAGGUCAACACAAAAGAAUAUCAUAAGAUUCUGUUAAAUGUAACUGUUUCAGAUAUCCAAUUUAAACAAAUAUGCCAAAUGGAUAGCUAAUCAGAUAAAAUAUAGAACUUAUUUAACAAUUUGGAAAAAUCAAUUAUUUUUAAAACUACUUUUUAUUGAAAGAAACAAAUAAAUAAUACAAAUGUUUCUAUUUUAUAUUUUGCAAAAUAAAUUGUAAUUUACGGGUCAUGUGAACAUGUUUUAAUAGCACUAUAUUUUCUAUUUAGAAAAAUGUAUUAUUAGAAUAUAUUAUUAUUGGAGAUUUUAUAUUCUUUACAUUCUAUAUCCAACCCGCAGCCUAUGGGCCACAUGCAGCUCUGGACAGUCAGUAAAAUGGCCCUAUAAGUUCGUAAAUGUUUAAUACUAUUAUGUGAUUUAAUAUUUUAAAACUACAUCAUAUAUUUCAUGCAACCCGACACAAUUCCUUUUCAUUCAAUGAGGCCCAGGGCAAGCCAAAAGACUGGACAACAACCAUGCUCUAUGUAUUAUUAACUUCAAUAAUCUCUUUACAACAAUUUGAUUUAACAGAAAAAUAUAUUUUGCCAGGGCAAAGGAUUGUGUCAUCUUUCUUUUCAACCUGUUUUUUUGGUUUCAUCUCUCUUGAAUUACACUAAGCUCCCAAACAAAACUGGUGCAAUAUUUUUUUCUUCCUGUUAAUCAAGAAUUAAUGGAGGUAAUUAUGGAGUACUCUGUUUAUAUCAGAAGUUGACAAUGCCUGCUUUAAAAAUGCUGUAUCAGAUAAACAAGAAAAUAAAUCGUAAUAAUGAUUUAUUAAUAGAUGAAUAUUGCUAAAUAGGUCCAUGGAAACUGAUUUCCUUGUCUGUAGUAAUAAUGACACAUAAUUUUAUCUAAUUUAGAUAGAACUGUUAUUACUCCUAUGAGAAGAUGACUAUAACAGCCUCAGCUUGUACAUAAAAUUGGAAAAAGUUCCAGCUUUUAACAAUUUAUCUUGUUUUACAAUUUCUAAAUUCAGGGAAUCUCCACUUUAUUAAAAUGACAACUAGUUGCCUAAGGAUUAGAGAAAUCUGGAAUUUAGUACUGAACAGUAAUGAGUAAAAUCAACAAUUACAAAAUCAAAACAGAUCCACAAUUAGCUUUGCUGGUCAUAUUUAUUGAAGAUAGUUAGAAAAUAAAACAAAGAGUUAGGAAUUUAUAUAAGAAUAAUUUAUUUAGCUAGCAUGUUUAUUUUUUAAAAAAUGCUCCCCAAACAAAAACAAGCAAAAAAAUGAAGAAGGUAGGGAAAUAAUUCAUUUGUUAUAUCACUGAACUAGACAAUUGAAUUAGAUUUUUACUCUCUUUAAAAUAGUUUUUAGCAACCAAAAAAUUCUAUGGCAAAUAAUUGCCUGCUUGUUAGUUGGUAGGAAGUGAUUUAGAUUAGAAAUGUUUAUAACAUCUUAAAAUUGAUGAAGUUCAUAUGAAUAUUUCUAUGAAAUCUUAUGGUUUCUUUAUUUAAUUUUCUGGUUUUUUUUAAAAAAGAAUGACCAUCAGGGACAUGGAUGUGCAAAAUCCUUGAAACAUCUGCUUCAUGCAUGUCAAAUGUGAAACAAAACCUAGCUGUUUCAACUGGCAUCACUGCAAGUAUUUCAACUGCUCAGAGCACUGUGAUUGGGCUGUUUAUGGGGUUGUGACUGGGUUCCUUUUUUCAAUCUUUUUUUUCCCUUCCACCCCUAUGAAGCAGAUGGGACAAUCAUGUUUGUCACUACUAUUGGUUUAUGUGGAAUGGGUGAUGUGGAACUGGAUUAUUUAGAAGAAGAAGCAGUUAAAUGCAUAGUUUGGCAAAAAAGAAAAAGGAAAAAAAAAAGAAAUAGUUUGCUAAUAUCUUCACUCCUGCAAGCCGGCUUGGGUUGACACCCAGUGACUUCAUGCCUAGUCCCUGCAGGAUUCAGAAGUGGUUUGCCAUUGCCUUCUUUCUACAGCUAAGAGAGAGUGACUGGUUCAAGGUCAAUCAGCUAGCUUUAUGCCUAAGGGUCCUAUCUUUGCAAUAGUGCUCUGGGUCAAUAUUGGCCCUGCUGCAGUGGGAAGUAAGAAUGAACUUGAGGAACAGCAGGAAGAGUCACAAUCAAGGCAACAGUGUUAAAAAAAAAUUAAGUCCAAGUCAGAAAUGUAAUUUGAGAAGUAAAAUUUGAAAGUCUGAGACCUGAUCCUCUGUAGUUCUCUGGAAGAUAAAGGGAGGGAGGGGGCAGGCGCAUUCAGAUCUUCAAGAGUCUAUUACUGUAACUUUAUAAUAAAAGUAGUUCAGGUGGUCCUCGA